UACGUAGGGUGCAAGCGUUAAUCGGAAUUACUGGGCGUAAAGCGUGCGCAGGCGGUUCGCUAAGACCGAUGUGAAAUCCCCGGACUUAACCUGGGAACUGCAUUGGUGACUGGCGGGCUAGAGUAUGGCAGAGGGGGUAGGAAUUCCACGUGUAGCAGUGAAAUGCGUAGAGAUGUGGAGGAAUACCGAUGGCGAAGGCAGCCCCCUGGGCCAAUACUGACGCUCAUGCACGAAAGCGUGGGGAGCAAACAGG
rnacentral:rRNA from 1 species